CUCAGUUCAGAUUGUAGGCUGAAACUCGCCUGUAUGAAGUCGGAAUUGCUAGUAAUCGCGGAUCAGCAUGCCGCGGUGAAUACGUUCCCGGGCCUUGUACACACCGCCCGUCACACCAUGAGAGUCGAUAACACCCGAAGCCUGUAGUCUAACAGCAAUGAGGACGCAGUCGAAGGUGGGAUUGAUAAUUAGGGUGAAGUCGUAACAAGGUAUC
rnacentral:rRNA from 1 species